UAGAGAGAGAGAGAGAGAGAGAGAGAGAGAGAGAGAGAGAGAGAGAGAGAGAGAGAGAGAGAGAGAGAGAGAGAGAUUCACCACAGUAUAAACGCGCCACAUGUGGAGAUGAAGAGCAAGGACGAUCGUACGUGCGCGCGAACUCGCACACACCUGCAUAUAAUGUGACUGUGUGUGUGUGUGUGUGUGUGUGUGUGUGUGUGUGUGUGUGUGUGUGUGUGUGUGUGUGUGUGUGUGUGUGUGUGUGUGUGUGUGUGUGUGUGUGUGUGUGUGUGU